CGCCUUCCGACGUGAGAGGUGAAGGCUGGGGCGCAAACCGGAUAGAUACCCGGGUAGUCCCAGCAGUAAACGAUGCCAGCUAUGUGUUGCUGGAACCAUGGGUUCCAGCAGUGCCGAAGGGAAGCCGUGAAGCUGGCCACCUGGGAAGUACGAUCGCAAGGCUGAAACUUAAAGGAAUUGGCGGGGGAGUACCACAACCGGUGGAGCCUGCGGUUUAAUUGGAUACAACGCCGGGAAUCUUACCGGAGGGGACAGCAGUAUGAAGGCCAGGCUAAAGACCUUGCCAGAUCAGCUGAGAGGAGGUGCAUGGCCGUCGCCAGUUCGUACCGUGAGGCAUCCUGUUUAGUCAGGCAACGAUCGAGACCCGCAGUCUUAUUUGCCAGCAUGCCCUUUGGGGUGUAUGGGUACAAUAAGACGACCGCCAGCGCUAAGCUGGAGGAAGGAGCGGGCUACGGUAGGUCAGCAUGCCCCGAAUCCUCCGGGAUACACGCGGGCUACAAUGGUCAGGACAAAAGGUACCGACCUCGAAAGAGUGAGGUAAUCCACAAACCUGAUCUCAGUCCGGAUCGAAGGCUGCAACUCGCCUUCGUGAAGAUGGAAUCGGUAGUAAUCGUGACUCAAAAUGUCACGGUGAAUAUGUCCCUGCUCCUUGCACACACCGGCCG
rnacentral:rRNA from 1 species